rnacentral:rRNA from 1 species
GAUGAACGCUGGCGGCGUGCCUAAUACAUGCAAGUCGAGCGAACAGACGAGGAGCUUGCUCCUCUGACGUUAGCGGCGGACGGGUGAGUAACACGUGGAUAACCUACCUAUAAGACUGGGAUAACUUCGGGAAACCGGAGCUAGUACCGGAUAAUAUAUUGAACCGCAUGGUUCAAUAGUGAAAGACGGUUUUGCUGUCACUUAUAGAUGGAUCCGCGCCGCAUUAGCUAGUUGGUAAGGUAACGGCUUACCAAGGCAACGAUGCGUAGCCGACCUGAGAGGGUGAUCGGCCACACCGGAACUGAGACACGGUCCAGACUCCUACGGGAGGCAGCAGUAGGGAAUCUUCCGCAAUGGGCGAAAGCCUGACGGAGCAACGCCGCGUGAGUGAUGAAGGUCUUCGGAUCGUAAAACUCUGUUAUUAGGGAAGAACAAAUGUGUAAGUAACUAUGCACGUCUUGACGGUACCUAAUCAGAAAGCCACGGCUAACUACGUG